rnacentral:rRNA from 1 species
CACCCUGAGUGCACCUGAUCUCGUCUGAUCUCAGAAGCUAAACAGGGAUG